rnacentral:rRNA from 1 species
GGGUCGGCAGUAGCUGUAUGCAGGGACAGCCAGGGCAACUUUUUAGGAAGUUCAGCUCUAGUUGUGUAUGGAGUAAGUGAUCCAGCGACGCUCGAGGCGAUAGCCUGUCGGGAAGCUAUAUCUCUUGCUGAAGAUCUUCAUCUUCAAAGAUUCAUCAUCUCUUCCGACUGCAAGCAGGUGGUGGAAGACAUCACAAAGGGCAUCAAUGGUCUUCACAGAGCAAUCAUUCAUGAAAUAAAGUCUAGAUCGGCCCCUUUUCUUGUAACUUUAUUUUUAAAAGUCGUAGUGUUACUGUCGAAGCUCACAGGUUAG